rnacentral:other from 1 species
UAGCCUGGAAUGUUCGACAUCCCCUGCUGUUUUGAACCUACAUUUUUGAUAUAGGGAAUCUGAUAUCGCUGAGAGGAUGACAGGCCUCGCUGACCGGAGGAAGUCAGAGACUCAUCUGAAGUUACCCACCUGGCUGAGGCUAGGAAUCAAAAUCGCAGGAAACGGCAUUUUGGGUUU